GGCCCUUCGGGGACCUCCGAUAAAAUUGGAACGAUGCUGAAAAAAUUAGCAUAGCCCCCACAUAAGGAUGACACGCAUAAAUCGAGAAAUGGAAAUUAUCGAA